rnacentral:rRNA from 1 species
AUGGAGGGUCUUCUACAUUGGGAUUUCUCCCCUGGCCAAGCGAUGGAGACUCAGGUGCGCAAAAGAUUUGGUACUACUGUUCAUUUCUCCCCCAUUGGAGAUGCAAUGGAGUUUUUCCUAGUGGUGGCUUUCUCCUCUGCCUCCUUCCCCCUUUCAGUUGAUUCGGUGGGUCUUGCUCUACAAUGUUGCAUUGGUGGAUCCUCUCUGGGUUUCAAGGUCAAACAUCUUGCUGGUAGACAUUACCAUUUCUCUGUGGCCUCAAAUAAAGUUGGCCAUUUCAACUAUGGUCUUAAGGACCAUGUUUGGCCUGAUUUUGUUUAUCAUUUCAACCUCUAUUGA